rnacentral:rRNA from 1 species
UACGGAGGGUGCAAGCGUUAUCCGGAUUUACUGGGUUUAAAGGGUGUGUAGGCGGACUUUUAAGUCAGGGGGGAAAUCCCGAGGCUCAACCUCGGAACUGCCUUUGAUACUAUUGGUCUUGAAUCUUGUUGAGGUGGGCGGAACGGGUCAUGUAGCGGUGAAAUGCUUAGAGAUGACAUAGAACACCAAUUGCGAAGGCAGCUGGCUACACAUAUAUUGACACUGAGGCACGAAAGCGUGGGGAUCAAACAGG